AUUGAACGCUGGCGGAAUGCUUUGCACAUGCAAGUCGAGCGGCAGCGCGGGGGCGAACCCUGACGGCGAGCGGCGAACGGGUGAGUAAUACAUCGGAACAUGUCCAGUCGUGGGGGAUAGCCCGGCGAAAGCCGGAUUAAUACCGCAUGAGCUCGAGAGAGGGAAAGCGGGGGACCGUAAGGCCUCGCGCGACUGGGUUGGCCGAUGUCCGAUUAGCUAGUUGGUGGGGUAAAGGCCUACCAAGGCGAUGAUCGGUAGCUGGUCUGAGAGGAUGAUCAGCCACACUGGGACUGAGACACGGCCCAGACUCCUACGGGAGGCAGCAGUGGGGAAUUUUGGACAAUGGGGGAAACCCUGAUCCAGCCAUUCCGCGU
rnacentral:rRNA from 1 species